AAAGGUUCCAUUAAGCCAUCCAUUGGGAAAGGUCGUCUAUGCCUGACCAAUCAACGCCUGCUGAUACUGUCUGCCGAAAGCGUGCUGGAUGCUGACCUGAGUGAGUACGGGGACCCCACGCGUACAGACGGGGGCUACAAGAUCCAGAUCGCCAAGUUCAACAGCGUCUACGUCCAGAACCUGCCGCUAGCCUGCUUACAGGGCGUGGAACUCUCGGUCAGUGUCGGUACGGCCGAGGAGAGCCGAGUGUCCGUUAGAGACCCCGUAUGUGACGGACUGUGCGCAUGUUUCGGGAUUGGACGAUGUGCCAUCACCUGGAGGAGGUCUGAUCCGCUCCCCAUUCUCAUCAACCGGCGUGUCCUGACCCUUGGGGUGAAGAUGCCACCGUGGCUGACCAAGACCUUGAUCGUUGUUCACUUGAAUCCAGAGAUGCCAUUGAACAUGGCUAGAGACUUUGUCGCCAAACUUCACCACCACGCCCCUCUUUAUAACGAGCGUGCGCAGGGCUACACCAGCGUGUGACGGAGUCCCGUGUGUGUCUAUAGGCAGUGUAGAUUUGUAAAUAAAUUAUCUAAAUGC
rnacentral:misc_RNA from 1 species